GGUUGUGGCACAUUGGUAGAGCACUCGUCUAGCAUGCGUGAGGCACUAAGUUCGAUCCUUAGCACCA
rnacentral:tRNA from 1 species